rnacentral:rRNA from 1 species
CUACGGGGUGCACCAGUGGGGAAUAUUGCACAAUGGGCGCAAGCCUGAUGCAGCAACGCCGCGUGAGGGAUGAAGGCCUUCGGGUUGUAAACCUCUUUUAGCAGGGAAGAAGCGAAAGUGACGGUACCUGCAGAAAAAGCACCGGCUAACUACGUGCCAGCAGCCGCGGUAAUACGUAGGGUGCAAGCGUUGUCCGGAAUUAUUGGGCGUAAAGAGCUCGUAGGCGGUUUGUCACGUCUGCUGUGAAAAUCCAAGGCUCAACCUUGGACUUGCAGUGGGUACGGGCAGGCUAGAGUGCGGUAGGGGAGAUGGGAAUUCCUGGUGUAGCGGUGGAAUGCGCAGAUAUCAGGAGGAACACCAAUGGCGAAGGCACAUCUCUGGGCCGUAACUGACGCUGAGGAGCGAAAGCGUGGGGAGCGAACAGGAUUAGAUACCCCCGUAGUC